AGAGUUUGAUCCUGGCUCAGAUUGAACGCUGGCGGAAUGCUUUACACAUGCAAGUCGAACGGCAGCACGGACUUCGGUCUGGUGGCGAGUGGCGAACGGGUGAGUAACAUAUCGGAACGUAUCCAAUAAUGGGGGAUAACUAAUCGAAAGGUUGGCUAAUACCGCAUACGCCCUACGGGGGAAAGCUAGGGACCUUCGGGCCUGGCGUUAAUGGAGCGGCCGAUAUCUGAUUAGCUAGUUGGUGGGGUAAAGGCCCACCAAGGCGACGAUCAGUAGCUGGUCUGAGAGGACGACCAGCCACACUGGAACUGAGACACGGUCCAGACUCCUACGGGAGGCAGCAGUGGGGAAUUUUGGACAAUGGGCGCAAGCCUGAUCCAGCCAUUCCGCGUGAGUGAAGAAGGCCUUCGGGUUGUAAAGCUCUUUCGCAAGGGAAGAAAACUUAGCCUCUAACAUAGGCUGAGGUUGACGGUACCUUGAUAAGAAGCACCGGCUAACUACGUGCCAGCAGCCGCGGUAAUACGUAGGGUGCGAGCGUUAAUCGGAAUUACUGGGCGUAAAGCGUGCGCAGGCGGCCUUAAAAGUCAGAUGUGAAAUCCCCGAGCUCAACUUGGGAACUGCGUUUGAAACUCUAAGGCUAGAAUAUGUCAGAGGGGGGUAGAAUUCCACGUGUAGCAGUGAAAUGCGUAGAGAUGUGGAGGAAUACCAAUGGCGANNNCAGCCCCCUGGGAUAAUAUUGACGCUCAUGCACGAAAGCGU
rnacentral:rRNA from 1 species